UGCUAAUGUGCCCCCAGGGUUGAAAACCAGUAGUGUAAGGCAAGAGCAUCAACAUAGGCCAACCAUCUACAGAUCCCAUCUCACUCUGCUUCCUACCAUCCCUGGGAGUAGAUGGCUAAGGACAAUUGGAGGACAGGUUGUCGAAAAUGAAAAGAAUGGACUUUUCAUCCAUGUGGCUGUGAUCAGUUCCUAAAGCAGAGGAAUCUGCAGCCUAAUGACACAUCAGGAAUUGAUGGAACCCCAGCAGACAGCUUCUAUGAGGAGAUUAGGACUCUCAGAAGAGACACCAGAGGCGUGGCCACACAGAGAAAAAGAUCAUGUGGGGACACAGUGAAAAGGCAGCCAUCAUAAGCCACAGAGAGAGGACUCAGAAGAAACCAACUCUGCUGACACCUUCAUCUUGAACUUCUAGCCUCUAGAACUGUGAAAAAACAAAUUUCUGUUGUUAAGACACCCGGUCUGUGGUAUUUUGUUAAGACAGCCCUAGCAAACUAACACAAUUUUGUACACUAAAUAAAGUCCAAUUCAAUUUUAAUUUUAUAGAAACUGAAACAAAUAAUUUAAAGAUUUACUUAGUAAAUUACUUCAGAUUGGGAUCAAAUGUGUACAUGAAUUAUGAAAAUGUAAGAAAUGGAUAUUUAAAUAAGUAUACCAGAACAUAAAAAUUCCAGUGCCUGGUUUUUUUUUUUUUUUUGAAAGCCACUUAUCCCAACAAUAAAACUGAUGCUCAAAAUA
rnacentral:lncRNA from 10 species